UCCAGCUUCAUCUCCACCAGCAGCAUAUGGGUGGCUCCAGCUCCCACUGCAGGGCCUCCUGGGAUUCCAGGUCCCAAAGCAUGUUCUUGUCAGCUGGCCUUGGCUACCUGGGAUGUGAGCAGCUUCUUGCUAUUGAUAAUCUCUGAUUGCAUCAUCUUCCUUUGUUUGGUCUUUCAGCUUUUCUAUCGCCUGUGUAACCAAUUCCAAGCAUUCAAUCCUCUCUAUGUGAAAGAGUAAAAGUAGUAUCUUCUUUCCUGGAUGGACCAUGACUGGACCAUGACUGGCAAAGAGAUCCACACUCGCAGUACCUCUCCCACUCCCUCCCCUCCUCCAAACUCUGAAGAUAGUUAUUUGUUUUGUUUUGUUUUGUUUUGUUUUGUUUUGUUUUGUUUUGUGGUCUCCGCUUAACACUAACUGGGAGCAAGAAGUGCUAGAAAUCUAACUGGAAGGUCUGGUUCCUGCAAAAAGUUAAAAUCCAGAGUUUCAGAAGCAGCCUGAAAGUUUUAAUUAUAAUGAAAACAGCCACUAGAUUUUAGCCCUUGUGAGUUCAGCGUUUCCUGUACAUUGCUCAAUUCCUGCAAUACAAUCGCCAUCUACUCCUCGUAUCAGAGGCAACACAUAUCUCAUUCCUUUCUCGGCUCUUCAGUUCUGUAGGAUCCAACGUGCCUGUUGGAAGUACACUGAGGAAUAAUGACUUUAUGUUCAUGACAUUACCUUCUAUGUGCAUUUGAAAAUUCUUGCCAAGCGUUCGGGACUAUGUGGUGUUCUGAUGUUCACUGGGGCACCAGAGGAGGCUAACUUUUUCUUCUAUUACAAUCAAAGCCUAAAAGGAAGAAGAAGCAUUCUCCAAAUAAGGGGUUCAGUUCUUAAAUACAGGAUCAUUCUGGGGCCCACAGUAAGUGCAGAGUGGGUUUGUUUUUUUUCCCUAUUAUUUUUGGUUCGUUGUUUUUCCGGUGGGACAGCUAUACAAGGUAGAAAGCCAUAAUUCCACCCCAGUAUAAUUGGCAGAGCCAUUCUGUGAGGCCCCGGGGUUACAGCACCCACACCCUGGCAACGAAGCUGCGGGCCUUCCUGUUUGCCAGCAUCAGUGGUCAUAUUAUGGCUUGUGUGCCGGCAGCACCCUUUUCUAAUUCUCUUUUAGGAGGAAAUAAUAAAAGGAUCGGAGGAUACUUAUUCAGCGGCUUGCAGAAAAGACCUCAAAAACCUAUUUAUUAUGCUGCGGUCUACAGGGAAUUUGCUUCUGGCGUUUGAUUUCAACUAAGAUAAACUAACUAAUGAAGGAAAAUAAGUUUCAGAAUCAAAGCUCCUCCUUCUCAUUACUACCAGUCUGAGAAAUGUUUAUAAACUCUCUGUCGUGCAUCUGACCUUUAAAUAGGGUCCCUGUGGAGUGCUCUCUCUCUCUCUCUCUCUCUCUCUCUCCCUCUCUGUCACUCACUCACUCCUUCUUGCCUUCUCGCUUACCCCCUUUACUCUAAAUAUCUCCCUUCUUCCAUUCCCAUUAUAUUCAAUGAGCUCUUUUGUUUUUCUUUAUUCCUUUUCUCUUCUCUUUGGCUCUAAUCUCUUCUUCUCCUUGUUCCCUUUCUAUUCUAAGAUCAAAAAAUUAACAUUCCUCUUAGGGACAAAUAGUGCCUUAAGGUGACUUCUAUCAGAAGCUCUUUAUAUCAAUUUUCCCCUCUUCUCUUUGUGAUGGUCUUUUAGUUUCUCUCCACGAUUAGCUUUGACCUCUUCACUGUGUUUCUUCCUUCAGCAUCUCCCUGGUACCAUGACAGUGACUCAUAUUAGAAAAGAGUAUGAUGAUUUUUCUUGAAACUUUCCCUUUAUAUUCCAUACUGGAGUUUGUGGUUUGAGGCACUGGAUAGAUUGAGUUGGCUGGGAUAGGUUGUUGUAAUCAUGACCCCAAUGUAUUCACACAUCUCUGUAUGCAUGACAUUUUGCAAGGUGACUUUCCUGAUUCUCUUACAAGAGGUGAAGUCUAUUUCUCUACUCCUUGACCAGUGCCUUGUUUUGGCCAAUGCAACAAGUGCAAAAGUAAUCCAAACAGAGGCUUGAAAGUGCUUGCACAUUGGUGACUGCUCUCUUGCUGUCAGUAGCCUUCUGCCACUAGGUGACAAGCCCAGGAUGGUGGGCUUCAGGGUGAGGACCUGGUGGUGAGGGCUGAGCAGCCAUCCCAUAUGAGGUCCCAGACAAGAGGUACCUGCAGAAUUGUGACAUGAGCUCUCAGAGGCGUUUUGUGCCCUUUCAGCUUUCUCUUCCUUUAAAUGGAUAUUUGGGAAAAGUUAAAAAUAAGAAAACUUUAAAAAUACUAUUUAGUAUCAUUUAUCAGUGAAAUGACAUUCUUAAUUUCUUGUUGAUAGAUUUCACUUUUAAAUCUUCUUGUGGUUUCAUGAGCAGAGUAACCAAUGGGAUAUAUUUGCAGACAAGCCCAUUUUUGCCUUUUAAUAGUGCAUACAAUCAUGAAAAUGCUAUUUCUUGUUUGAAUUUACUAGGUUUUGGAGUGGGUCACUAGGCAGCACAAUCUAAUAGUGUCUAAAUGAGACAACCCGUGCAAAAUGCAAGACACAGUGUCAGGCACAUACUGGUUGUUCCAUGCUUGUUUGUUGAAUAAAAGCAAGAAUAUUUAACUUAUUCUUGAAAUAGAAAGUGAAAUAUUUUUCCAACUUUGAGAUCCUCUUACAUGGAACUAUAGUGCAUCUAUAUUUAUUUCUUCAUAUCUUUUUCUUAAUCCUGAUGUUAAUUUUGCAUAUGCCGAUUUUUAGACACUCAUUGAAGGCAUAAUUGCAAAAAGGUGGAACUAGGGAUGGAAAAGCAAAGGAGAGAGGGCAGAAAACAAAGUAGGAGAAAGUUUGUACAGUGUAGUCUUGAUUGCUUCUCAGUCUUUUGGCUAAGAUCAAGUGUAUAGCAUGGUCUUGGCUCAGCUACAGAAAGUGGAUGUGAAAUAAUCGUGGCCUUAAAACUACUUGGGAAUGGGUUGGAGUGAAGAAGCUGAUAGAUGUCUUAGAAGAAUCAGGUACCUCUUCUGUCUUUUCAUGUGCACAUGAGGUAGCAUUAAGGCUGUGUUUAACUUCUGUAUUUGGGAGAGCGGUUGAGAAAUACCUACUUAGCUCUGGCAAUAUGACUGAGUUAAGUAAACAUUUCCCAGACUGUUCAUAUCUCAAGCUCCCAAGUUAACUGCAAUUCGAGACCUUAAAGGCAUGUUUCAACAGUUCAUAAUUAUAAAGCACUGAACAUUUAAAUGGAAGACCAAGAACAACAACAACAAAAGAAAAUAUCAAUCAAAUGCUUUUUUUCGAUAUGUAGAUCAGCAAAAUGAAUUACAAGCAUUUCAUUUACACUUCAAAGAUAGAAGAUCUUGAAAUACCUCAAUCACAUGAAACAGAGGUUGGCAAACUACAACCUGCAGAAUAAAUCUGGCCUGCCACCUGUUUUGGUAAAUAAAGCUUUACUGGAA
rnacentral:lncRNA from 1 species